rnacentral:rRNA from 1 species
AGAGUUUGAUUCUGGCUCAGGAUGAACGCUGGCGGCGUGCUUAACACAUGCAAGUCGAACGAGGUCCAACCUUCGGGUGAAGACCGAGUGGCGAACGGGUGAGUAACACGUGGGGAACCUGCCCUUCUCUCUGGGAUAACCUCGGGAAACCGAAGCUAAUACCGGAUACUCCUUGCGGACCGCAUGGUCUGCUCGGGAAAGCUCCGGCGGAGAAGGAUGGCCCCGCGGCCCAUUAGCUUGUUGGUUGGGUAACGGCCCACCAAGGCGACGAUGGGUAGCCGAGCUGAGAGGCUGAUCGGCCACACUGGGACUGAGACACGGCCCAGACUCCUACGGGAGGCAGCAGUGGGGAAUCUUGCGCAAUGGGCGAAAGCCUGACGCAGCAACGCCGCGUGCGGGAUGAAGGCUCUCGGGUCGUAAACCGCUUUCAGCAGGGAUGAAAAUGACAGUACCUGCAGAAGAAGCCCCGGCUAAAUACGUGCCAGCAGCCGCGGUAAUACGUAUGGGGCAAGCGUUAUCCGGAUUCAUUGGGCGUAAAACGCGCGUAGGCGGCUUGUUAAGUCAGGCGUGAAAUCCGGGGGCUCAACCCGCGGCUUGCGUCUGAAACUGGCAGGCUUGAGUCUGGUAGAGGAAAGUGGAAUUCCUGGUGUAGCGGUGAAAUGCGCAGAUAUCAGGAGGAACACCAGUGGCGAAGGCGGCUUUCUGGGCCACGACUGACGCUGAGGCGCGAAAGCUAGGGGAGCGAACAGGAUUAGAUACCCUGGUAGUC